GCCCAGGUGGUGAAAUCGGUAGACACAAGGGAUUUAAAAUCCCUCGGCCUUAAGGCUGUGCGGGUUCAAGUCCCGCCCUGGGCACCA
rnacentral:tRNA from 17 species